rnacentral:rRNA from 1 species
AGUGAACGCUGGCGGCAGGCCUAACACAUGCAAGUCGAACGGCAGCACAAUAGAGCUUGCUCUUUGGGUGGCGCGUGGCGGGCGGGUGAGGGAUGCAUCGGAAUCUGUCCAUUUGUGGGGGAUAACCUCGGGAAACCGUUACUAAUACACCACAUGCCCUACGGGUGAAAGAAGGGGAUCUUUGGACCUUUCGCAGAUGGAUGAGCCGAUGCCGGAUUAGCUAGUUGGAGGGGUAAAGGCCCACCAAGGCGACGAUCCGUAGCUGGUCUGAGAGGAUGAUCAGCCACACUGGGACUGAGACACGGCCCAGACUCCUACGGGAGGCAGCAGUGGGGAAUAUUGGACAAUGGGCGCAAGCCUGAUCCAGCCAUGCCGCGUGUGUGAAGAAGGCCUUCGGGUUGUAAAGCACUUUUGUUGGGAAAGAAAAGCAGCCGGUUAAUACCCGGUUGUCAUGACGGUACCCAAAGAAUAAGCACCGGCUAACUUCGUG